rnacentral:rRNA from 1 species
UACGUAGGGGGCAAGCGUUGUCCGGAAUUAUUGGGCGUAAAGAGCGUGUAGGCGGUCCGGUAAGUCGGCUGUGAAAGUCCAGGGCUCAACCCUGGGAUGCCGGUCGAUACUGCCGGACUAGAGUUCGGAAGAGGCGAGUGGAAUUCCAGGUGUAGCGGUGAAAUGCGUAGAUAUCUGGAGGAACACCAAUGGCGAAGGCAACUUCCUGGGGCAAUACUGACACUGAUGUGCGAAAGCGUGGGGAGCAAACAGG